AACGAACGCUGGCGGCAUGCCUAACACAUGCAAGUCGAACGAGACCUUCGGGUCUAGUGGCGCACGGGUGCGUAACGCGUGGGAACCUGCCCUUAGGUUCGGAAUAACUCCCCGAAAGGGGUGCUAAUACCGGAUAAUGUCUUCGGACCAAAGAUUUAUCGCCUUUGGAUGGGCCCGCGUUGGAUUAGCUAGUUGGUAGGGUAAAAGCCUACCAAGGCGACGAUCCAUAGCUGGUCUGAGAGGAUGAUCAGCCACACUGGGACUGAGACACGGCCCAGACUCCUACGGGAGGCAGCAGUGGGGAAUAUUGGGCAAUGGGCGAAAGCCUGAUCCAGCAAUGCCGCGUGAGUGAUGAAGGCAUUAGGGUUGUAAAGCUCUUUUACCCGGGAUGAUAAUGACAGUACCGGGAGAAUAAGCUCCGGCUAACUCCGUG
rnacentral:rRNA from 1 species